AGAGUUUGAUCAUGGCUCAGAACGAACGCUGGCGGCGUGCUUAACACAUGCAAGUCGAGUGCGCGGUGGGGUAGCAAUACUCGUACUGGCGCACGGCGCACGGGUGCGUAACACGUGGGCAAUCUGCCCUCCGAUGGGGAAUAACUCCGGGAAACCGAAGCUAAUUCCGCAUAACAUUCCCUGGACUCCGGUUCGGGGAUUCAAAGCCGCAAGGCGUCGGAGGAGGAGCCCGCGCCCGAUUAGCUAGUUGGUGAGGUGAUGGCUCACCAAGGCAAUGAUCGGUAGCUGGUCUGAGAGGAUGGCCAGCCACACUGGAACUGAGACACGGUCCAGACUCCUACGGGAGGCAGCAGUGGGGAAUCUUGCGCAAUGGGCGAAAGCCUGACGCAGCGACGCCGCGUGGGGGAUGAAGCUUCUCGGAGUGUAAACCCCUUUCGACUGGGACGAAUGCCUCGCAAGAGGAGUGACGGUACCAGUAGAAGAAGCCCCGGCUAACUACGUGCCAGCAGCCGCGGUAAGACGUAGGGGGCCAGCGUUGUUCGGAAUUACUGGGUGUAAAGGGUUCGUAGGCGGUGUGGCAAGUCGGGAGUGAAAUCUAUGGGCUUAACUCAUAGUCUGCUUCCGAAACUGCUGUGCUGGAGUGUGGGAGAGGCGCGUGGAAUUGCAGGUGUAGCGGUGAAAUGCGUAGAUAUCUGCAGGAACACCCGUGGCGAAAGCGGCGCGCUGGACCACUACUGACGCUGAGGAACGAAAGCUAGGGGAGCAAACAGGAUUAGAUACCCUAGUAGUCC
rnacentral:rRNA from 1 species